AAAUAGCUUUAUCGCCAUCUUGUUUGC
rnacentral:sRNA from 1 species